rnacentral:rRNA from 1 species
UCCAGACUCCUACGGGAGGCAGCAGUGGGGGAUAUUGCACAAUGGGGGAAACCCUGAUGCAGCGACGCCGCGUGAGUGAAGAAGUAUUUCGGUAUGUAAAGCUCUAUCGGCAGGGAAGAAAAAAAUGACAGUACCUGACUAAGAAGCCCCGGCUAACUACGUGCCAGCAGCCGCGGUAAUACGUAGGGGGCAAGCGUUAUCCGGAUUUACUGGGUGUAAAGGGAGCGUAGGCGGCCAUGCAAGUCAGAAGUGAAAACCCGGGGCUCAACCCUGGGAGUGCUCUUGGAACUGCAUGGCUGGAGUACAGGAGGGGCAGGCGGAAUUCCUAGUGUAGCGGUGAAAUGCGUAGAUAUUAGGAGGAACACCGGUGGCGAAGGCGGCCUGCUGGACUGUGACUGACGUUGAGGCCCGAAGGCGUGGGGAGCAAACAGGAUUAGAUACCCGCGUA